GGGGGUGACAGGACUCGACAUAUACUCUUGGUUUAAUGGUAGCAUGCAGAGGUUUCAGGUGGCCUCUUUCCGAAAGGAUCCUUGCAAAAGGGAAAAACCUGAAAAAAACAAUAAACGUCAACUACAAUCCAGUAGCUGAGGCCGAAGCCAUUUUGGCUUCGGACACACUAGCUCCCCAAAUGAUGGGAGCGGGUUCUUUAAUGGGCGCCUUGGCCCUUUAAUUGGACCUUAACACUAACACAGGGACGCUUGAAAAAUAUUUAUCCUUUAAGGUUUCAAGCUGAAGUUAGAAAGGAUGCUUCUUAAUGCGCCCGUUUAUCGGAGUAUUAAGGAAAAGAUUAAAGGUAAACUAAGCAUGUAGCGGCUGUUAGGCUUGGAUAUGUGGACCCGGGUUCAAAUCCCGGCACCUCCACCA
rnacentral:tmRNA from 1 species